GACGAACGCUGGCGGCGUGCUUAACACAUGCAAGUCGAACGGAAAGGCCCUGCUUUUGUGGGGUGCUCGAGUGGCGAACGGGUGAGUAACACGUGAGUAACCUGCCCUUGACUUUGGGAUAACUUCAGGAAACUGGGGCUAAUACCGGAUAGGAGCUCCUGCUGCAUGGUGGGGGUUGGAAAGUUUCGGCGGUUGGGGAUGGACUCGCGGCUUAUCAGCUUGUUGGUGGGGUAGUGGCUUACCAAGGCUUUGACGGGUAGCCGGGCUGAGAGGGUGACCGGCCACAUUGGGACUGAGAUGAGGCCCAGACUCCUACGGGAGGCAGCAGUGGGGAAUAUUGCACAAUGGGCGGAAGCCUGAUGCAGCAACGCCGCGUGCGGGAUGACGGCCUUCGGGUUGUAAACCGCUUUCGCCUGUGACGAAGCGUGAGUGACGGUAAUGGGUAAAGAAGCACCGGCUAACUACGUG
rnacentral:rRNA from 1 species